rnacentral:rRNA from 1 species
CGACUACGACCUCAGAUCAGACGAGAC